rnacentral:rRNA from 1 species
GUGGGGAAUCUUCCGCAAUGGACGAAAGUCUGACGGAGCAACGCCGCGUGAACGAUGACGGCCUUCGGGUUGUAAAGUUCUGUUAUACGGGACGAAUGGCGUAGCGGUCAAUACCCGUUACGAGUGACGGUACCGUAAGAGAAAGCCACGGCUAACUACGUGCCAGCAGCCGCGGUAAUACGUAGGUGGCAAGCGUUGUCCGGAAUUAUUGGGCGUAAAGGGCGCGCAGGCGGCGUCGUAAGUCGGUCUUAAAAGUGCGGGGCUUAACCCCGUGAGGGGACCGAAACUGCGAUGCUAGAGUAUCGGAGAGGAAAGCGGAAUUCCUAGUGUAGCGGUGAAAUGCGUAGAUAUUGGGAGGAACACCAGUGGCGAAGGCGCCUUUCUGGACUGUGUCUGACGCUGAGAUGCGAAAGCCAGGGUAGCGAACGGGAUUAGAUACCCUAGUAGUCC